rnacentral:tRNA from 1 species
CAAAGAAUAGUUUAAUUAAGAAUACUAGCUUUGGGAGUUGGCGGUGGGGGUUAAAAUCCCUCUUUUUUGA